ensembl:lncRNA
CAGAGCUCAGCUACACAAAUUAAUUUAUAUAAGUUUAUUUUUUUAAAACAUAUUUCCACAGUUAGAAGUGAGUCAUGAACAUGAGUGAUUUCUGAAUCUGAUGUCAGUUAAACACAGAGGCCGUGUGGAUUUAUUCUAAGCUCAGAAUAAAUGGUGCAUCAGCCCAACUGGGGGACUCUCUAACUGGUGGGGAGGCUGUUACAUCUUCGCAGGUGGUCUCCUCUCUACAGGAGCUCACUUUGCAGGUGGGGGAGAGAUAUAGGAGAGGUAGAGAAUGAACUCAACCUGGGUGUCUAUUGUCUUGUGUAGUUUGGGAGAUGAUUGGAUGAUGGGGUGGGUGCAGUUUUCUCUGCGGUGGAGUCGGGUGGGCUGCCCCAGACUCUGCGGGGCUGGGCGGUGCUGCUGCUGUGGGCCCCGAUCCGGAUGGGCCUGGGCCCCCUUGCCCUGGUGGGUUCCAGAGUUGGGGGUGCUUACUGGGGUCAGCGGGGGAGCUGGCCCCAGGGAGGGGCCACUUGCCCCUCCCUUUCUUCCCUCCCCAUCCUCAGCUGCCUCCCUCUUCCCGCUCUACCACACCCACCCACACACACAGGGCUUGGGGUGCAGAUGUGUCACCAGGGUGCAGGGGAGGCACUCCCCCCCCCUCUGUCCCCUUCUGGCCACCUGUGCCUCAAUUUUAUUCUGCAACCUAGACAUCCACAUUACUCACACUCUCACAUAACACAUACAUAUAGGGCCUUGGGGGUGGGCACGUUUUACAGCAUCCAGAGGAUGGUCGGUGUAUUCCAACCCACCUCUGGCGCUGGUGCCCUACCCUCAAUUUUAAUGCAUAUAGACACUGAGGGUUUUCGGGAGGAGCCGUGCUGCUCUCUGGCAGGAAGCACCAUGCCCUCCUGUGUUUUAAAUGCACUUUAGAACAGCACACAGCAACACUACAUAUGAGCGGGCGGAGGGAGGUUUGGGGUCUUCACUCACCCCGGUUCUGUUAGCCGUCAGGGCUGGGGGGCUGG